rnacentral:rRNA from 1 species
UACGUAGGGGGCGAGCGUUGUCCGGAUUUAUUGGGCGUAAAGAGCGUGUAGGCGGCCAGGUAGGUCUGCUGUGAAAACUCGAGGCUCAACCUCGAGACGUCGGCGGAAACCAUCUGGCUAGAGUCCGGAAGAGGAGAGUGGAAUUCCUGGUGUAGCGGUGAAAUGCGCAGAUAUCAGGAAGAACACCCGUGGCGAAGGCGGCUCUCUGGGCAGUAACUGACGCUGAGAAGCGAAAGCGUGGGGAGCGAACAGG